UUUUUCUGUUUCAGAAGUGCAAUUGAGAUGCUACAAGCAGAGCUGAGGGAAUCUGCAUGCAAUUUGGAUUUCUCAUUAGCAGAGAAUGGGUACUCAAAUCAACAGACAACUCCAGCUUGUGAUUUAAUAAAGCAAGGAAUUGAUAUUGUGAGGGUUGACCAUAUGGCCAUUGCUUUGUCAUAGACCUAUAGAUCACCAAUAAUGGACACCGUACAAUCUCUUCCACAACAUCAACAGCUAAGUUUGUUCUGCUAACAUGAUUAAUUAGUUGACUAUUAUGACU